AAGUAGCUCCAGCUGUGAAAUCUAGGAAAUCAGCCAGGCUGGUUUCAGCUCCCCUUAAACUAGGAACUUCCACCUACCAAUAAAAGGAAUGGGCACUUUGUUUAUCUUUCCACAGGGUUCUGAUAUACAUUUAAAAUAUGUCUAAUUGAAUCAGUCAAUCAACUGUCAAGAUGAGUCCCUUAGUAGUACCAUUGAUACAGUGAUAAUCCACCAGCAGAUAAUGAAAUUCUUUGAACCAUUCUGAGUGACACUUGAAUACAAACAUCUGACAGAAAUUUUCAAAUUAGAUAAUACCUCAGAACAGGUGGCUGGCACAUCUCUCUUCAGUUCAGAAAGAAGUGGUGCCUGCUAUUCACCAGGCACUGAAGAGGAAAUUGCUCUCCCGCAAUGUAUUUUUUCGGUCAUAGUUCAUAGCAGGAGUGCAAAGUUUGGUGAUUGCUUCUGAGAGAUUCCUUAUUUGCUUGGGUUUGGAGGAAUGCCAUUUGCUUACUCAUCUAGCAUAACUGCAGAUACAUCUUGCAGUGGGCAACUGAUUCCUCUUUUCUCUCUCAAGAGAGCUUGCAAAUGGCAUGUUUUCUUGAUGGUUCCUUGCGUCAUGCUGAAAAAUUGUCCUGACCUAUAAAAUAUGCUGUUCUUCAGUAAGCAGUUAUUCCUAAAGGCUUUUUCUUUAUAAUUUGGCUCAAGUGACUGCUGAAAACAAAGAUGUGGGAGAGUGGGGAAGGCUCAGAGGUGACAAGAGCAGUAGAAACCAAGAAUAAACCAUCCAGAUUACAGCACUGAUGUUUGCCAUUUCAGCUCCAUUUCACCUGGAGGAAGGAGAAGCAAAAUGAGGAACAGGCAGUAACUUACCUCAAACACUGGGGCUGCAGUUUUAGAAAUGAAAAUAAAUACUGAAUGUGUAUAUCAUCACAUCCAAUAGCAAAGACAAACACAGUGAUGUUUCAGGCUUUCUCUGUUGUGCUGUUGGCACGCAGCAGAGUAAUUACCACGUUAUCCAGCACAAUCUGAAUGGAACUGAGUGAAACUUAAUUAGCUCCUGUCUUUUAAGCAUUUCUUCAUCCACAACACUUGUAAUCUUUGGGGUCCUGCUGUGCAACUGUAAUGUUCUACAGAAAAUGCAAGCUGCUAGGGGAAUCCUAUUCCAAAAUCUGGUCUAGUUUACCAUCACAUACUGUUAUUCUUGUACUAUGGUGGUCUGUUUUUUGCUCUUUGCUUUCUUCUGGUGUAUCAUUACAUCCUUACUUCACAUGGUACUGUACAGCAGCAUGGCUGACCCAUCCCCUUAACUGGAAAUGCCCUUUUUGGAUAAGAUCAUAUUUAUACCCUGAGUGUCUUUCUUGCAGAUUUCAUCCCAUAGCUGUCUGUAGUCAUUGCUGCACUGCCUUCAUCAAAUCACUUGUCUCCCUUAUCUGCUCUGAAUUUCUUUCUUUGCUUCUCCUGUCAUUGAAUCAGAUGGUAUUGACCCUUAAAUGUCAUUUUGGACUUUGAUUGUGUUUUAUUUUUGUGAAGAAGAGAUACAAAGUAAUGGGUUUGUGAAGGCUUUACCAAUUUAUGAUUUUAGUUUUGUAUUUAACAUCCUUAACAAUCCCCUAAGACUGCAGAUUGCUUUCUUACUUUGAGUGACAACCACUGCAAAAUUGUCCUUCAGGCCUUUAGAAGGUGUUCUCAUUCAAGCUUAGAAUUACUGUUCAGCUUAUACUGAGUAGGACUGAAAUGCUUCCAGAUCAUGCUAAUUAUGAUGGAAAAAUAUUUUCUUUCGAAAACAGCUGUAAAAAUAAAAAUGCUGGUGAAACUC